rfam:Medicago truncatula strain A17 chromosome 1, whole genome shotgun sequence.
AUAUAAGCAAAAUUGACUUUUUAGAUUCAUUCAUUUAAUGAUGUAUGUGGUUCAUAAUAUGGAUCACAUACAUCAUUAAAUAAAUGAACCUAAAAAGUCAAUUUUGCUUGUAU